GGCUACGUAGCACAGAUGGUUAGAGCACAUCAUUCAUAAUGCUGGGGUCGGUGGUUCAAGUCCACCCGUAGCUACCA
rnacentral:tRNA from 1 species